GGCAUAUGGAGGUUCCCAGGCUACUAGGGGUAGAAUCGAAGCUGUAGCCACCAGCCUACACCACAGCCACAGCAACACAAGAUCUGAGCAGCAUCUGCGACCUACACCACAGCUCACAGCAAUGCUGGAUCCUUGACCCACUGAGUGAGGCCAGGGAUGGAACCUGCGUCCUCAAGGAUGCUAGUCAGAUUCGUUAACCACUAGGCCAUGACAGGAACUCCUAUAUAUAUACUUUCUGUUUUAUGGGAACCUUUUUUUUUUUUUUUUUUUUUUUGUCUUUUUAGGGCCACUCCCACAGCAUACGGAGGUUCCCAGGCUAGGAGUCAAAUUGGAGCUAUAGCCACUGGCCUAUGCCACAGCUCACAGCAAUGUCAGAUCCUUAACCUGUGUCCUCAUGGAAAUGAAGAUUCGUUUCCACUGAGCCAUGACAGGAACUCAGAGACCCUAUACUUCUUAUUCAGACCUUCUGCACCAUGAAGCUGUCUACUGCCUUUAAUUGACAAAAAUUUAAAAAAAUUAUUAAAUCAUUUACUCACUACCCAGUGAAAUGCCAGAAUUCGGAUUUAUGCUGCCAAUUUGCUCCCACCACAGUGUGUCUGCAACUGUUACCAUCACCUAAAAUGAACUCUUUCCCCUUCUUGUAUAAAAUAUGCUUGUGGUCCCAUAAAUACCAGCCUUAUAAACUUACAAACUAGGAUCUCUAAUACGGAUCUUGGGUCUCAAUCAAAGAAAUUGAAAGUGCUGCUUAUAAGGCAUUUGUAAGUUAUGUAUUUGUGAAGUCUGGCCAUUCAGAAUUUAACUAGUACUCCUGUUUUAACAAGUUAUCUUAGAAUUUCAUUUUAUAAAUUUUGUGGCAUUCUUAAGCAUUAAGGUAAGCAAGAAAUAGAUACUGACACCCUAAAACACAGCUCAAAUUGUAUACCAGAAAGGCAGAAAAUCAAAAUCCAUUUCCAAAAAGUGUGCUUUUAGUAAACUGUUCCUUAAUGCAUCUCUCUGCUAAGCAACGGUCAUCAGGGGUCACUAAACCAUAUAUCCACUGCUAGAGCCAGAAGAGUAGAGCAGGAUUCUUGAAUAAGAAAAAAUUCCAGUUCAAGUUGCUGAGAAGUUCCUUGUAACCAAAUAGCUCGUGACAUUUUCAGUCUAGCGGUGUUUCACUAAAAAAAAUCACCUUCCUGGGAAAUUAACUGCUGCCCCACGUAUCUUUAGUGCUAGAAACAAAGUUGUUCCACCUUCCCAUUCCAGAACCAUUCUCGAGUUCACUCAUUUUCACCACGUCCAGCCUAACUCCUCUGCCAGGCUUUGGGACACCACAUCAUGACUCCUCUAAUCCUCUAAAAUAAGAUCCCACUAACAGCCCCACAAAGCCCCAAACACGAACCUUUCACUCAGCCCUCACAUUACUCCCCUUGCCAAGAAUAUUCUUACCUCUCCUGCCAAACUAAACGCACCUUCCAAAGUCAGCUCAGGUGGCACUUCCCUGCAAGGUUCCCUUUCUAUCCGGUUCAUCCUGUGUGGGUCUCCCAUCAUUCAGGACUCUCCGGUUACUGGUGUUCUCUGUACACUGGGCAUCAGUAUGCUGGGGCCAAUGACCAAAUCCUUCUACAAUGUUUUAAAUCCCCCCCGGUAUCCAACACGGAACUUACAUGCGGUUAUUUAAUAAAUGCUGAGAGGUUUAUCGCAUAGGAUUAUAUAUUGCCUAUCUUGUCAAGACCUCAGGAUCAUUCCUUUAGGUAAUUUUUAGAUGAUUUCCAAGGGUACAUUAAGAGCAUCUUUGGAUCAACAAGAAUGGCAGUCCUGAAAAAACCCAAGAGGGGAGAAAAGGCGGCUGAGCAGAAACAGACUUAAAGAAGUCUGUUUAAAAAUUCCCUGGAAGAGGAAUUUCUACAUGUCUUGUAAGAGCUUUCGACUCAGACUGUCUUUGCAAGGAUAUGUGCAUUGCAAACAACCUUGGAAUCUAAAAACAGUGCUUCCAGGUUAGAGGGCAGAUUGGUUUCCCACCCAGGAUAAUACAGAAGUGCCUGCCUUGGGUUGGCAGGUUGAGCAGUUCUGCAAGCCCCUUCAAAGAAGGGGGACUUCGUGAACUGAGAGAUCCUCAGCUGUGACACAAAUCCACUGUGUGCGGGUGGCCCCCUCAGCCACUCAGCAUUGCCCCUGGGAGCCUGGAGGGCAAGGGAAGUGAGAACGUGAAGCCUGCUGUGCCCUGAGUAGUAAAGUCCUUUCUCUCUGACCCGGGGGCAUCGAGGGAACAAGGGCAGCCAGCUUGUUCACCUGCACUGUGCAGUUUAGGACAACUUUUGGCGGUUAGCUAAAAGUGAGUCUGUUCAGCUAGGAUUUUCUCAUUUAUAAAAGAAAACAUAAGCUACCACAUCAAAUUCUGUACAUCUCACACGAACGGCCAAGAUGAGGCUCGAAAACAGCAACGUGCUGAGUGAAAGAAGGAAACUCCUGGUGUGAGGACGCCAGGAGUUCACGAUAGGAGGUUCUUGCACAGGCGAAGGUAAAGUGAGAGCAACCAGAAGGUAGGCCGCUUCUCACAGGAGCCACGGGUGGGAAGUGACUCCAGCUGAGAAUGCAUUUUCUGGGGUGACGAGAAUGUUCUACAUCUAAUUGUGAUCAUCAAUGAGGGUGGUUGUCACAAGGAUACACACAAUGGUCAAAAGACAUCAAACUCCACAGUUAAGGAGUUCCCGCUGUGGCACAAUAGGUUAAGAAGCCGAUGGCAGCAGCUCGGGUGGCUAUAGAGGUGCGGGUUUGAUCCCCAGCCCAGGGCAGUGGUUAAAGGACCUGGAAUUGCUGCAGCUGUGGCACAAGAGGUCACAGCUGUGGCUCAGAGUCGAUUCCUGGCCCAGAAACUUGCUGUUGAUGCAAAAACAAAACAAAACAAAAACAAAAACAAAAAACACCUCUAUAGUCAAGAGCUGUGUGUGUUUCCAGGCAUGUAAUGCUCAAUAAAAAAGCAUUACAAAUGCCAAAUAUCUAAACCCUGAACAUGCUGCAUUCUCCCUUUAGUUUCAGGAUAUGAUUGACAGAAACACUAAGACAAUACCAGCC
rnacentral:lncRNA from 1 species